CCUGCAUCUUCUGUUUCAAAACGCAUUUUGAACCUCAUUCCAAUAGAAAAAGAAUGAUCAAGGCUCUUCAAGAAUUUACGGGAAGGUAUUAUGAACUCUGACGAGCUGGCCCUUGGAUUAUAGUAAAUGUUGAAAACACUUCGCAUAGACAUAGCAUUAACUACAUCUGUGAGAGUGCCGUGAUUCAACUGCUGAGUACAAAGAGCCGGUAAAGUAGCACCACAUUUAACUUGCGCAGCUCUUCGAAUUCCCAGUCUCAAUUCUCCAUCCUCACCCCUGAGAAAGAGCACAGCAUCUCCAGAGACAAGUUUCUUCUUAUUUACAAAUGCACUCCAUCCAGUAGUGAGCAAAUGCCUCCGUGGUNNNNNNNNNACCUCCACUCAAAGCCAUGGAGAUCCUUUGCUACUAGCUCUUGUGAAGGCCUUUGUUGAGU
rnacentral:misc_RNA from 1 species